rnacentral:ncRNA from 1 species
UCUAUUUAUAUUUUAACGACAAUGGAUGUGAUGCCAAUGUAAUUUGUAACAUAGUAAAUUGGGAGGAUCUUUGAUCACCUGGUGCCAUGCUAGUUACAUAUGAAAACAUUAUUUAAUACAAUGACAAAGCCUAGAAUCAAUUGUAAACGACUUUUGUAACGGGCAAGGUGUUGUAAGUGGUUGAGCAGCUGCCAUACUGCGAUCCACUGAAGCUUAUCCUUUGCUUGAUGAUUCGA